GGGCUCACUUCAGCAGCACAUAUACUAAAAUUGGAACAAAACAGAAAAGAUUAGCAUGGCCCUUGCGCAGGGAUGACGUGCAAAUUCAUGAAGCGUUUCAUAAUUUU
ensembl:snRNA U6 U6 spliceosomal RNA